GUCCACGCCGUAAACGAUGGGUGCUAGAUGUCACGGGCUUUGACCCCUGUGGCGUCGUAGCCAACGCGUUAAGCACCCCGCCUGGGGAGUACGGUCGCAAGACUAAAACUCAAAGGAAUUGACGGGGGCCCGCACAAGCGGUGGAGCAUGUGGUUUAAUUCGACGCAACGCGAAGAACCUUACCUGGGCUAGAAAACGCAGGAACCCUGCCGAAAGGCGGGGGUGCUCUUCGGAGAAUCUGUGGUUAGGUGCUGCAUGGCUGUCGU
rnacentral:rRNA from 1 species